rnacentral:rRNA from 1 species
UGGGGAAUAUUGGACAAUGGACCAAAAGUCUGAUCCAGCAAUUCUGUGUGCACGAUGACGUUUUUCGGAAUGUAAAGUGCUUUCAGUUGGGAAGAAAAAAAUGACGGUACCAACAGAAGAAGUGACGGCUAAAUACGUGCCAGCAGCCGCGGUAAUACGUAUGUCACAAGCGUUAUCCGGAUUUAUUGGGCGUAAAGCGCGUCUAGGUGGUUAUGUAAGUCUGAUGUGAAAAUGCAGGGCUCAACUCUGUAUUGCGUUGGAAACUGCAUGACUAGAGUACUGGAGAGGUAAGCGGAACUACAAGUGUAGAGGUGAAAUUCGUAGAUAUUUGUAGGAAUGUCGAUGGGGAAGCCAGCUUACUGGACAGAUACUGACGCUAAAGCGCGAAAGCGUGGGUAGCAAACAGGAUUAGAUACCCUGGUAGUCCACGCCGUAAACGAUGAUUACUAGGUGUUGGGGGUCGAACCUCAGCGCCCAAGCUAACGCGAUAAGUAAUCCGCCUGGGGAGUACGUACGCAAGUAUG